CCCCAGAUGACUGAGUUAGGUGUUAGAUUUUUAAUCUAAAGACGACAUAUAUUUAUUGUCUUUGGGGG
rnacentral:tRNA from 1 species